rnacentral:rRNA from 1 species
GAUCCUGGCUCAGGAUGAACGCUAGCUAUAGGCUUAACACAUGCAAGUCGAGGGGAAACGGCAAAGAGUGCUUGCACACUUUGGACGUCGACCGGCGCACGGGUGAGUAACGCGUAUCCAACCUGCCCUUUACUUGGGGAUAACCCGUUGAAAGACGGACUAAUACCCAAUGAUAUUCAUUGAUGACAUCUGAUUUGAAUUAAAGAUUUAUCGGUAUAGGAUGGGGAUGCGUCUGAUUAGCUUG